GACGAACGCUGGCGGCGUGCUUAACACAUGCAAGUCGAACGGAAAGGCCCUGCUCUUGUGGGGUGCUCGAGUGGCGAACGGGUGAGUAACACGUGAGUAACCUGCCCUUGACUUUGGGAUAACUUCAGGAAACUGGGGCUAAUACCGGAUAGGAGCUCCUGCUGCAUGGUGGGGGUUGGAAAGUUUCGGCGGUUGGGGAUGGACUCGCGGCUUAUCAGCUUGUUGGUGGGGUAGUGGCUUACCAAGGCUUUGACGGGUAGCCGGCCUGAGAGGGUGACCGGCCACAUUGGGACUGAGAUGCGGCCCAGACUCCUACGGGAGGCAGCAGUGGGGAAUAUUGCGCAAUGGGCGGAAGCCGGAUGCAGCAACGCCGCGUGCGGGAUGACGGCCUUCGGGUUGUAAACCGCUUUCGCCUGUGACGAAGCGUGAGUGACGGUAAUGGGUAAAGAAGCACCGGCUAACUACGUG
rnacentral:rRNA from 1 species